CACGUACGCAACCUUCCCGAAACUGGUGAAUAGCCCUCCGAAAGGAGGAUUAAUACACCGUAAGAUAAUGGAGUGGCAUCACUCUAUUAUUAUAGCUACGGCGGUUUUGGAUGGGCGUGCGCCUGAUUAGGUAGUUGGCGGGGUAACGGCCCACCAAGCCUGCGAUCAGUAACUGGUGUGAGAGCACGACCAGUCACACGGGCACUGAGACACGGGCCCGACUCCUACGGGAGGCAGCAGUAAGGAAUAUUGGUCAAUGGACGCAAGUCUGAACCAGCCAUGCCGCGUGAUAGAUGAAGGCCCUCUGGGUUGUAAAUAUCUUUUAUCUGGGAAGAAACACUCCUAUUCUUAGGAACUUGACGGUACCAGAGGAAUAAGCACCGGCUAACUCCGUG
rnacentral:rRNA from 1 species